UCCCCUUCGUUCUUCCCCCAUGCACUAAAACUCUCUACCCUGACAUAUCCGGUGUAAUGACGAAUUAUGUGUCUUGAAGAGUUCUUUGUCCCAAACAGCUGAUGAAAAUGCUGAGUCAGCACAGGAAAAGGGAAAAGCUGAGUACUUGAGAACGGAAGGGUUGCAGUGAACUGUGCUCUGACAGCUACCAUAGAGUGAGCACAGAGCGAGCACCGAAAUUGGGAAAAACUGAGUAAAUAUAGAAGAAUGGAAACAACAUAGAUCUACCAGCUGCUUAGCAUCCUCUGGAGUCACAUAAAUGUUAUCGAUUCUUGUAAGAAAAUGAAGCUGUGCGGAAUAUCAAAAGGAAACAGCGGGAAGUUUCAACAUUUCUUAUUCACAGGAUUUCAGACAAGGGCUUUAACUCGGCACCAUUGAAAAAGCUACUAAGUGGACAUUGCAUGUGGUACGAGGCCCAGCGUGGCUGCAGCCGGAUUGUGAAUAAAAUAUCAUGUUUUCCUUACUCGACACAGCCGAUGCCGCCGAUGUUAUGUGAAGAUCCUAAGAUGCUAACAGAUGGUCUUAAUGGUAUACUGGUUAAAGAAAUAUAGCAAAUCAAUAAUUGACAAAGAGCUACCUGGCGCUCUCAUUCAUAUUUAUUAUUGUGCUGGACA